GCCAGCAGCCGCGGUAAUUCCAGCUCCAAUAGCGUAUAUUAAAGUUGUUGUGGUUAAAAAGCUCGUAGUUGAACCUUGGGCCUGGCUGGCCGGUCCGCCUCACCGCGUGUACUGGUCCGGCCGGGCCUUUCCCUCUGUGGAACCUCAUGCCCUUCACUGGGUGUGGCGGGGAAACAGGACUUUUACUUUGAAAAAAUUAGAGUGCUCCAGGCAGGCCUAUGCUCGAAUACAUUAGCAUGGAAUAAUAAAAUAGGACGUGUGGUUCUAUUUUGUUGGUUUCUAGGACCGCCGUAAUGAUUAAUAGGGACAGUCGGGGGCAUCAGUAUUCAAUUGUCAGAGGUGAAAUUCUUGGAUUUAUUGAAGACUAACUACUGCGAAAGCAUUUGCCAAGGAUGUUUUCAUUAAUCAGGAACGAAAGUUAGGGGAUCGAAGACGAUCAGAUACCGUCGUAGUCUUAACCAUAAACUAUGCCGACUAGGGAUCGGACGAUGUUAUUUUUUGACGCGUUCGGCACCUUACGAGAAAUCAAAGUGCUUGGGCUCCAGGGGGAGUAUGGUCGCAAGGCUGAAACUUAAAG
rnacentral:rRNA from 1 species